rnacentral:rRNA from 1 species
UAGAGUUUGAUCCUGGCUCAGGAUGAACGCUGGCGGUGUGCCUUAGACAUGCAAGUCGAACGAAGCACCUUUUUUUGAACCCUUCGGGGCGAUUAAGUUGGUGACUUAGUGGCGAACGGGUGAGUAACACGUGGGUGACCUGCCCCGAAGUGCGGCAUAACAGGAGGAAACUCCUGCUAAUUCCGCAUGUGCUCACACCUCUUGUGGUGUGAGUAAAGAUUUAUCGCUUCGGGAUGGGCCCGCGGUCCAUCAGCUAGUUGGUAGGGUAAUGGCCUACCAAGGCGACGACGGAUAGCCGGCCUGAGAGGGCGAUCGGCCACAGGGGCACUGAGAUACGGGCCCCACUCCUACGGGAGGCAGCAGUUAGGAAUCUUCCACAAUGGGCGAAAGCCUGAUGGAGCGACACCGCGUGAAGGAUGAAGGCCCUAGGGUCGUAAACUUCUAAAAGAGGGACGAUAAUGACGGUACCUCUUGAGAAGCACCGGCUAACUCCGUGCCAGCAGCCGCGGUAAUACGGAGGGUGCAAGCGUUAUCCGGAAUCACUGGGCGUAAAGGGCGCGUAGGUGGUCUGUUAAGUCCGGCGUUAAAGCCUGGGGCUCAACCCCAGAUCAGCGUUGGAUACUGGCAGGCUAGACGGCUGGCGAGGCGAGUGGAAUUACCAGUGUAGCGGUGGAAUGCGUAGAUACUGGUAGGAACACCCGUUGCGAAGGCAGCUCGCUGGACAGCACGUGACACUGAGGCGCGAAAGUGUGGGGAGCAAACCGGAUUAGAUACCCGGGUAGUCCACACCCUAAACGAUGCAUACUUGGUAUUGGCCCGUUGGGGUCAGUGCCGGAGCUAACGUGUUAAG